CCAAUAAUAACCAACUGCAGAACCGCAGAACCAUUACGUCAUAACAGUCUGAGGACGACAGCGCCAGACCGACUGUUUGAGAGCGGAAGUGGGCGGGGUAGCAGCCCGAUGCCGGAAGUUCAUGUUUAGACGUGUUUGUUUAGACUAGACAGUAAAAGGUUUUUAGACAGUAAAAGAUAAACAUUAAAAGGUUUUUAGACAGUAAAAGAUAGACAAUAAAAGGUUUAACUAUGGCGGAGCACACUGUAGAACAAGGAAAAGAAGAAGAGAAAGAAAAGCACAUAUCGAUUCAGAGAGGGUCAGCGCCUUGUUUCUACCAUGAGGAAGCAGGUGGAACUGAUGUUGUGAUGGAGGACAGUACCCCGGCUGCUUCAAUGGUUACAACAGGUGCAGGAAUGGUUUGUGACAUUAAACAGUUGUCUGCCAGUAGAAGUUGUUGGGAUUUCCAGCCAAGUGAUUGGCAGUCAUCAUUGCUUAACCAGAUUUUGAGUAAAAAUGACAGAGAUGAGACAAUUGCUCAAGUUGGAAGCAUUAAACUGCAGCAGAAAGAUUUCUUGACCUUGGGCCUCAAUGCAGCGCUUGAGGCAACAAUUGCAAACAGCUGUCUUGAUGUGAUCGUCAUGGUGGCUAAGGAAAAGGCAACAGAUGUGUUUGCAGCAAAUUCCUUGUAGUUACCUGGCUACCACCACUUGAAUUGGACCCAUUUUUAUCAUUUCCAGAUAACAUAGGAUCCAAGGAUUACAUUCUGCUCCCUGCUUGGAUGCCAGGACACUGAAUGCUAUGUGUAUGUUGUUCCCUUCAUUUUUGGGUGAACUAACUCUUUAAGAUUAUAUGGUGAUAUUAGGAUUCAAUAUACUAACAACUGUAUUUCACAGGUUCUGAAGCCUAAAAACAAGGCUAUGUAUUUUUUUGAUUCAACUCACCCCUACGGGAUUGGUGAUGUAAAAUAUGUGACUGUCUUCAGGUUGCAUUACAUAUAUAAAUAUUAUGUUCAGAGUUCGCAGUUCAAGGUUUGCUGUUCAAAGUUCGUUGUUCGAAAGUUUGCUCUUCAUUGAUGUUCACUGCUGAUUAUUCUGUGCAUGAUGUUCAUUUGCAUGAUGAUCUGCAUGCUGCAUGUUUUUGUAUUCUAAAUUUUAAAUGUUGUUUUUGCAAUUCAGUCAGGGGUAAUUUUUUUUUUUUUUUUGCUUUUGAGUAAAUAUACUUUGCUUUUUUUGUCCAAUUUUUCUGGUUAUAAUAUAUUAAAAUAUUUCUGUUUGAUUUUGUUGCAGUAAAUUGACAAACAGAAUCGCUCCAGGACCAUGGAAGCUGAUCAAGAACAAGGGAUAACUUAAUGAUAAUUGCAUUGUUUUAGAAUGUUCCACAACAGCUGACUGGCUCUGUGGACUGUGGGAUCUUCAUGCUGAUGUCGGAUUUUCCUCUUAUUCGAAAAUGGUGGUGCCUUAUUCUCAUGGAGAAUUUUGCCAUUGAAAGGAAACAUGCUGCCGUUGAUGUGCAGGAGCCACCUAAAGCACAAGAAGACACCGAAACCGGCGACAUGGAACCACAGAUGGUCAAAGACCUCAGGACCGCAGUUGGAUGGCUGCGGGACAACUGCCACUCCUUCAGAGGUUCUGUGCAAGAGCCGUCAUAUCUGGACCUAAAGAAGGAAGACCAGGAAGAGGCCCUUCUUAAACUUGAUCGGGCGGAAAGAAAAGAUGAUCUGGAACUGGCCAAAAAGCCUUUCAUGUUUCAGUUCCAGUUUCAACAGGACAUGGAAGUUUUUCUUUUCGAAUGUCACGACGAAAGGCACCUCAGAAUAAACUCCAUGUUUAUGGAGUUUUAAUUUGUUAUUUAUUUUUCUCUUGAGAAUUAUUGAUGUAAAAUUUGUGCCUGUAUAACUUUUAUAAGAUUUAUUUUCUUUGGUUUAAUUUGUUUUAUAUAAUUUAUUUAUCUAGUUUGAUUUUGUAAUUUUAUUUAAUUAGAAAACAGCUAGUGUGUGAUUUUAUUUAAAACUCAUUUUAUUUAAAUUAAUGUUUUUUUUGUUUUCAGUCCAUUAUAUUAUUGUGUAUGGUGGUCUAUGUUGUUUGAGUAUUUAAAGUUAUUUUCAACUGAAUAAAAUGUUCAAACUCUCAA